AAGCACGCACAAGGGGGCGAAUCGAGGGAUAAGCUGGCGCGCAUCUCAGCGGUGGCUGCGCAUGGCGGUAUGCGUGGGCCCGUCUGUGAUGAUGAUGAUGGAGCAGCACUGGCUGCUGCCACCAAGGGGAUGGAUGGAGUUACUACUGGGCCACUGACUGCGGUCCCUGUAGACUCCUGACACCACUGCAGUGCUGUCCCCUGCCGCACCGCACUGGCAUAGGUUGUUUGAGCAGGGGCAAGAUCUUGAAUAUGCUGGAUGAUCUCCUUUGCAGUUUGUACAGUGAGGAGCAGCAUUGCAGUUCUCCGACUGAUGGUCUGACCCCUCUGACUGCAUCUGAAGGCCGGUGCCGUGCCAUCACAGAAAAUUCCCAUGCAUUCUCAUGAAAGGAUGCCAAGAAUGCCAAGAAAAACAAGACGAAAGUCAAUUGAGGACGCUGAAGAAAAAAUAGCUCGACAAGUGCUGAUGAAUGACCUAGACACACAAGCCUGUACCUGCAUAGUCCAAAGCAAUGCGACCGCUGUGGACGGCACCAUACUGGCUAUCUAUGGAUCAUGGAUGGCGACUACACAGUUUUGAAGGCACGCAGGUAACGCAGCGCUAUCCACAAAAAUAAAGGCUUCACA